rnacentral:rRNA from 1 species
UACGUAGGGGGCAAGCGUUGUCCGGAUUUACUGGGCGUAAAGAGCGUGUAGGCGGCCAGGCAGGUCUGUUGUGAAAACUGGAGGCUUAACCUCCAGACGUCGACAGAAACCGUCUGGCUAGAGUCCGGAAGAGGAGAGUGGAAUUCCUGGUGUAGCGGUGGAAAUGCGCAGAUAUCAGGAAGAACACCAAUGGCGAAGGCAGCUCUCUGGGACGGUACUGACGCUGAGACGCGAAAAGCGUGGGGAGCGAACAGG